rnacentral:rRNA from 1 species
CAGUAGCCGCGGUAAUACGAAGGGUGCAAGCGUUACUCGGAAUUACUGGGCGUAAAGCGUGCGUAGGUGGUGGUUUAAGUCCGUUGUGAAAGCCCUGGGCUCAACCUGGGAAUUGCAGUGGAUACUGGGUCACUAGAGUGUGGUAAAGGAUAGUGGAAUUUCCGGUGUAGCAGUGAAAUGCGUAGAGAUCGGAAGGAACAUCUGUGGCGAAGGCGACUAUCUGGGCCAACACUGACACUGAGGCACGAAAGCGUGGGGAGCAAACAGGAUUAGAUACCCCAGUAGUCCCUGUCUCUUAUAC